rnacentral:rRNA from 1 species
GAUGAACGCUGGCGGCGUGCCUAAUACAUGCAAGUCGAGCGAACAGACGAGGAGCUUGCUCCUCUGACGUUAGCGGCGGACGGGUGAGUAACACGUGGAAAACCUACCUAUAAGACUGGGAUAACUUCGGGAAACCGGAGCUAAUACCGGAUAAUAUAUUGAACCACAUGGUUCAAUAGUGAAAGACGGUUUUGCUGUCACUUAUCGAUGGAUCCGCGCCGCAUUAGCUAGUUGGUAAGGUAACGGCUUACCAAGGCAACGAUGCGUAGCCGACCUGAGAGGGGGAUAGGCCACACGGGAGCUGGGACACGGUCCAGACUCCUAAGGGAGGCAGCAGUAGGGAAUCUUCCGCAGUGGGCGGAAGCAUGACGGAGCAACGCCGCGUGAGUGAUGAAGGUCUUCGGAUCGUAAAACUCUGUUAUGAGGGAAGAACCAAUGUGUAAGUAACUAUGCACGUCUUGACGGUACCUAAUCAGAAAGCCACGGCUAACUACGUG